rnacentral:rRNA from 1 species
UGAACUUAAGCCCCAGUAAACGGCGGCCGUAACUAUAACGGUCCUAAGGUAGCGAAAUUCCUUGUCGGGUAAGUUCCGACCCGCACGAAAGGCGUAAUGAUUUGGGCACUGUCUCGACAAUGCACCCGGUGAAAUUGAAGUACCAGUGAAGAUGCUGGUUACCUGCGCCAGGACGGAAAGACCCCAUGGAGCUUUACUCCAGCUUGAUACUGGGAUUCGGUACUGCAUGUACAGGAUAGGUGGGAGGCAAGGAAGUAAGGACGCCAGUCCUUAUGGAGCCGCUGUUGGGAUACCACCCUUGCGGUAUUGGGUUUCUAACCAGCAGCCGUGACCCGGCUGUGGGACAAUGUCAGGUGGGGAGUUUGACUGGGGCGGUCGCCUCCGAAAGGGUAUCGGAGGCGCUCAAAGGUUCCCUCAGAAUGGACGGAAACCAUUCGGAGAGUGCAAAGGCAGAAGGGAGCUUGACUGCGACACCGACGGGUGGAGCAGGUACGAAAGUAGGACUUAGUGAUCCGGUGGUAUAAAGUGGGAUUGCCAUCGCUCAACGGAUAAAAGCUACCCUGGGGAUAACAGGCUUAUCACUCCCAAGAGUUCACAUCGACGGAGUGGUUUGGCACCUCGAUGUCGGCUCAUCGCAUCCUGGGGCUGAAGUAGGUCCCAAGGGUUGGGCUGUUCGCCCAUUAAAGCGGUACGCGAGCUGGGUUCAGAACGUCGUGAGACAGUUCGGUCCCUAUCCGGCGUGGGCGUAGGAUAUUUGAGAGGAGCUGUCCUUAGUACGAGAGGACCGGGAUGGACCGGCCGCUGGUGGAUCUGUUGCGUCACCAGGCGCAUGGCAGAGUAGCCAAGCCGGGAAGGGAUAAACGCUGAAGGCAUCUAAGCGUGAAGCCCCCCUCAAGAUGAGAUAUCCCAUGCGAAAGCAGUAAGACCCCUUGAAGACGACGAGGUAGAUAGGGCAGAGGUGGAAGUGUGGCAACACAUGGAGCUGACUGUUACUAAUAGGUCGAGGGCAUAACCAAA